AGAAUGGCAUGUUUGUCUCUCACCACCGACUACGAUAAAGUUUUACACAAAGUCAGUCCCAUGCAGCUCAACUGGAAGGACUGGACUUCACCUCACUAUGGUCAAAAUACUUGAAUGAGUGUAAAAACUCAAAUCCUCCUGAGGGCUGAACACCAGAACAAACCGGGACUGGAGGGUGGAAAAACAGAUGCUACGGUUUAGAACUUGUCAGAGCACUAAAGCCUCAGCGUCGACUGGACAUUCCUAUGUGUGACAUUAUUAUGUAAUUUAAAGUUUGUAUUGGAAUGUGUAAAAAGACUUUUUUUUUUUUUUUUUUUAAUGUAAAACUGGUGUUGAAAGAAUGUUUGAGCAGGGGGUGUGACUUUUGACUGAUUAAAGCAGAUCAGCACAGGCCUGUGUAUUUACAGUCUGUCACCACAGAUGGACAUUCUGUCCACAGCAGGACGUCCACCUGGACGCAGCACCUUAGACCACCGCAAGAGGCACCAAAACACAUCUGGUAAACCCAGCACCUAAGUGUUUCACAUUUUUUUCUGAUUAUUUCAAAGAAAGACACAACAUAAAGGCCUAACAACUAUACAUCUGAUUUGGCUACUUACUGAUUGUGUUAAAAAAAAAGGUCAAAUACAACAGGCGACACCUAGUCUCUAAAGUAAAACACUGAUUAGUAGUAAAGGCUCAUUG